CGGGAAUGAGGGCUCCGAAUGGCUGCAGCAGCACCGCUCUAAGACGUGCUAGUGAUUUCCUCGGGAGAGAGCAGAGCGAGAACGAGAGCAAGAGCGAGCGAACGAGCCCUUCAGUCCAUGACUCAGCAGACAAGCAGGCGCUGGUGGCAGCCUGGGAGAAAACGAAAGAUCAUUGCUCGAUCCUGAGGGGAAGACACCAUCAUCUCUCCGCGACCAGCAGACUGGGGACCGAGAGAGCGAGGGCUGCAGCUUUGGACUGCAGAGGGGAAAUUUUCCCCGUGCAGAUCUUGCACUUUUGAAAGCGAGACCCCGGGAAAGGACGAGAGGAAGAGGAGAAGACUUUAGCUCCGCGCCCCGUUUCGGUCCCUUCAGUCAGUUCAGAAAUCGCGUGUUUCGCGCGCUUUCUUUCCCUCGCAGAGGCGCUCGCUCACCGGGGUGAAAACCCAACUGCCGAGAGAGGCGUCAAACAAACGCAGCAGCUGGGACCUGCAGUCCGCUUGAACAGUAACUGCGCGCCUCCUCAAGGGCAGCCCGCUGAACUCGACGGUUUCCGAAUGCAAACGCCAAAGGGUUGUGCUGUUACUACUAUAGCAUCUCUACCCUUCAUCCAGUUUAAACUGUUCGAAACAGGACGUAUUUUGAUUCAGCAGGCGCUGUAGGGAGAAACCCGUGUGAGAUUAUGGUGGCAAAAAAAAAAA